GGGGGGGGGGGGGGGGGGGGCGGGGGGGGGGGGGUGGAGCGGGGGGAUCAGGGGGGGGCUGCUUUGAGGUGAGCGGCGGACGGGGGAGUGAGACGUGGGUAACCUACCUAUGAGACUGGGAUAACUUCGGGAAACGGGCGCUAAUACCGGAUAACACUUGGACCCGCAUGGUUCUAAGGUGACAGCUGGGUUUGCUCUCACUUAUAGAUGGCCCCUCUCCGUAUUAGCUAGUUGGUAAGGUACCGGCUUACCAAGGCACCGGUACGUAGCCGACCUUAGAGGGUGAUCGGCCAUCCGGGAACUGAGACACGGUCCAGACUCCUACGGGAGGCAGCAGUAGGGAAUCUUACGCAAUGGGCGAAAGCCUGACGGAGCAACGCCGCGUGAGUGAUGAAGGGUUUCGGCUCGUAAAACUCUGUUAUUAGGGAAGAACAAACGUGUAAGUAACUGUGCACGUCUUGACGGUACCUAAUCAGAAAGCCACGGCUAACUACGUG
rnacentral:rRNA from 1 species